GACGGAGGGGGCUAGCGUUGUUCGGAAUUACUGGGCGUAAAGCGCACGUAGGCGGCUUUGUAAGUUAGAGGUGAAAGCCCAGGGCUCAACCCUGGAAUUGCCUUUAAGACUGCAUCGCUUGAACAUCGGAGAGGUAAGUGGAAUUCCGAGUGUAGAGGUGAAAUUCGUAGAUAUUCGGAAGAACACCAGUGGCGAAGGCGACUUACUGGACGAUUGUUGACGCUGAGGUGCGAAAGCGUGGGGAGCAAACAGG
rnacentral:rRNA from 1 species